UACGGAGGGUGCGAGCGUUUGUCCGGAAUCACUGGGCGUAAAGGGCGCGUAGGCGGCCUGAUAAGUAGGGGGGUGAAAUCCUGCGGCUUAACCGCAGGGCUGCCUUCUAAACUGUCAGGCUCGAGCACAGUAGAGGCAGGUGGAAUUCCCGGUGUAGCGGUGGAAUGCGUAGAGAUCGGGAAGAACAUCAGUGGCGAAGGCGGCCUGCUGGGCUGUUGCUGACGCUGAGGCGCGACAGCGUGGGGGAGCAAACAGG
rnacentral:rRNA from 1 species